rnacentral:lncRNA from 1 species
ACGAAAUCGACGAAAGUGCGAAAGAAGCGUUCGGCUAUUUGUUUUUACUUUAAAACGUAUUUAUUUCGUUUUGAUUUCAUUUCAAAUAAAUUGGGUCACGUCCACAGCGUGUUUCGACUAGUUUCCUCAACAAAGUGAAGUCGGCCUACUGAUAAAAUCAUUUCAAUCUCGCUAAGACAUUGCGACCCAUCUUGUAUGGGCUUUUUAAUCGAUGGAAUGUGUUUCUAAAUCACGGCAGACGUGUCGGCUGAAAAAGCAGUUGCAGAUCCGCGCGCAGCCUUGAGUUGGGCCGUGGGAGCGGUCGGGGCAGGGUCCCCGCGUGCGGAGCCCGGGGAGAGGGCUCGGCGGCGGCUGUGUGUCCAGUGUGCCACCAUGACGGAGCAGCUGCGGGGGAGCGGCGCUGACUGGGCCAGCUAACCUCAGGUAGCCGGCGGCGGGUGGCCCUCAGUCGGGCUCGGCCCCGAGCAGCGCCUGGAGGCUCCGGCUCCGACGCGAACGGCUGACCCCGAGCACUGACCAUGCGGCUGCCCAGUUACGCUGUGUUCCGGCUGUCGUUGGUGCUGAACGCCGGCCUGCUGCUGAUCUGCAGCGUGUGGUACAUGCAGCACUCGCCCACCGAGCUGCAGCGGCCGGUGGCGGCGGCCGCGCUGCUGCCGCCCACCCCGGCGACAGUGCCGGACG